UAGUGAGCUCCAAUUUUGAAAGGAAAGCACGAGGAGAUCGCGGAAUCCGCAGUGUCCUCCCUCUCCGUUUGCCAAGAUCACCAAGCCUUCAUCCUCCUUCAUCUUCCUCCCUUCUCUUCUCCCUCCCUUUCUCCCUUCCCUUCUUCCUUCCUCUACUCGAACUCAUCAUGCCCUAUCUUCAUACCAUCAGAAUCGCAACAGCAAUGCCUCCUCGAAGCAAAGUAAGGUCUUCCAUCUCCUCCCCUAUCUCCCCUUCCUCCGAUCGACCCGACAAUAUCCGGAAUCCAGCCGAGGGUUGCCUGGAUAAGAAACAAGGAAGAAGAAGAAGAAGAGGAAGAAGAAGACAAGGGAACGACCACUUACCUCUCGCCCUUCCCCCUCCUAUUUCGCGAUGAAGAUUAGGGGAAAGUGAUGAAAAAGAAAGAAAGAAAAAUAAAGAAGAAAAGAAAAGAGAAAAAGAGAAGGAAAAAGAAGAAAGAGAGAGAACAAAAAAAAUGAUAGAGAAAAAUUAAAUAAAUAAAUAAAAGAGAAAAAAAAUCAAGAGAGAGGUCUCAUAUUUGGUGCAACCAUUCUCUCUCUACCUAAUUUAUAGAUCCUAGUCCAAUU
rnacentral:lncRNA from 1 species